rnacentral:rRNA from 1 species
GAGUUUGAUCGUGGCUCAGGACGAACGCUGGCGGCGUGCUUAACACAUGCAAGUCGAACGGACCCUGUGGGGCUUGCUCUGCAGGGUUAGUGGCGAACGGGUGCGUAACACGUGAGGAAUCUGUCCUUCGGCGGGGGAUAGCCGGCCCAACGGCCGGGUAAUACCGCGUACGCUCGUUCCGGGGCGAUCCCGGGACGCGGAAAGCCGCAAGGCGCCGAUGGAGGAUCUCGCGGCCUAUCAGCUAGUUGGCGGGGUAAUGGCCCACCAAGGCGACGACGGGUAGCUGGUCUGAGAGGAUGGCCAGCCACAUUGGGACUGAGACACGGCCCAGACUCCUACGGGAGGCAGCAGUGGGGAAUCUUGCGCAAUGGGCGAAAGCCUGACGCAGCGACGCCGCGUGUGGGAUGACGGCC